UACGUAGGGAGCAAGCGUUGUCCGGAAUCAUUGGGCGUAAAGCGCGCGUAGGUGGCUUCGUAAGUCCGUUGUGAAAGUCAAAGGCUCAACCUUUGAAAGCCGAUGGAUACUGUGGAGCUAGAGUACGGAAGAGGCGAGUGGAAUUCCUGGUGUAGCGGUGAAAUGCGCAGAUAUCAGGAAGAACACCCGUGGCUAAGGCGGCUCUCUAGUACGGUACUGACGCUGAGACGCGAAAGCGUGGGGAGCGAACAGG
rnacentral:rRNA from 1 species